GCCAGAAGGGACCCUCAGGCUGGGUCUGCAGUAAGGCUCUAAUUGAAAACCAAAGAAGGGGGCACUCCCUUGACUUUCUGCUCCCUGGGGGGCAGUCUGUAUGUCCUGGGUCAUCCUGGCAUGAGAAGAGGAGCAGGGUCUCCAGCUUGAAGAUGACAGAGCAUGGCACUUCUCAGCCUCCGUAAUCUUAUAUGCCAAUUUCUUAUUGUAGAUGAGAGAAAAUUAGGAUAAGCACAGACACCAUGGGCGUGCACAGAGGAUGAAAGAGCAUGUGAGGACAGCAAAAGGCAGCUGUCUGCAAGCCAGGAAGGGAGGCUUCAGAAGAAACCAGGCCUGAGGACACCUCGAUCUUCAACUGCCAGCCUCCAGAACGCUGUGGAAACACAUUCCUGCUGUGAAAGCCAUCCAGUCUGUG